UGUCAACAGACCUCAAUUAGGUCGUUAGCAGUCCCAGGAUCACUCUCGCGUCUCGAGUCUCGAGUCUCGAGUCUCUCUGGCGUCGCUUCCGCUUCCGCUUCAGUCACUCUCGUCGUUUCCGUCACUCGCGUCUCGAGUCGCGCAUCUCUCGCAUCGCAUCUCUCUCGCAUCGCAUUUCUCGAGUCGCGCAUCUCUCGCAUCGCAUCUCUCGAGUCGCGCAUCUCUCACGUCUACUUCAAUGGGUAGUAUUCUUUAUUUUGCUCCACAAAGAAAAAGUAUCCAGUGCCACCUGUGGCAUUGUCAGAGAGCGUAUCAGCCAUACUGCUCAAGCUCGCAUUCGGAGCUAGCUUUACUUGGCGAAGAAGGCAGGAACGCAAUUGUUAUUGCUGAUGGGAUGAAAGAUCAAGAAAUCAACGAGAUUUCUGGCAAGAUUGUACGGUCCACUGUGCAAGGGAAACGAUGCGGCAUUCCUCACGUGUUUCCUAGCGAUCUGUGCAGUAAUCCUUGGGAGCUUGAGGGCUUUGUCUUCAACAGGGAGCUCGAGUUGGAUGAAACACGCAGAUCAUGGGUUUUUUUCUGUGAAAACAACCCUGAGGAUUUUGGAACAGUCUGGAAAUUAGUUGGGGGUUCCAAAGAGAUCUCUCCUGGAAUCUACUGUCAAAAGUACAUCUUGACACCGGAUUACGCAUCUCCUGGUGGUCGUUUUCUGCUAAGUAAGGUUACUGGAUGGCGUUUCAGCUUGGCUCUUUACUGGAUGACGUUUCUGGCGGCUGAGCCUAAGGUAGAGUCUGAGGAGGAUGGUAAGGUUACUGUUGUACCAUCUGAGGGAGAGACCUCCAAACGCAAACUAAUCGACUGUGACCCUUCUUCCCAACUGCCCAACAAGGCUACGAAGAUUGGCAGAGUUGAUGGGGCCAUGGAAAGUCCAAACACCAAUGUCUCUCAUUCAGUACAUGUCUUGGCUCACAAAUCAGACAUGUAUGUCUUCUGUUUGUACUCCCACAACGUCGCUGCUAAGGGGAAAUUCAUCGCAUUUGCGUCGACAGAUGCAGAGACUGAUAACCCUCAAACCGAACUAAAGGCUGGGAUUGAUCUUUUGGGUCCUGUUGAUGAGAUAUUCUUCGACAUGUAUGAUAGAUACGAGCCUGUCAACGAGCCCGCUUCGGACAACUGCUUUAUAUCAACGAGCUAUGAUGCUACAACACACUUCGAGACAACUGUUGCUGAUGUGUUGAACAUGUAUACCCUAAUCACCGGAGAGGUAAAUGUUCUGACAUUCUUCGCUACGGAUGUAUGUUAGAUGCGAAUUGAGAUGGAGAGAAGUCUCGUGUUUCUUUAUGUCACAUCAACUUUGUGUGUGGAAUUACAUGAGAUGUGAUGGAAAGUGAUUGCUUUCGUUUGAUUUCCCCACGAUCUGAUUAUUUUGAGUAAAGAAGCCAUCUUGUUUUUGAGAAGCCAUUGUCUUUGGUAGACUGAUUACAAUGUUAACAUGAUGCCUAAGGUGAUGAUGGCAUUUAUUACAAUGUAUGUUAACGAUAUUAUGUUAAUGACUCAUGACAAGUUUUCUGGUUAUGUUCAGGAUUACAACGAGAAGGACUCCAAAACACACAGCGGAAUGGUUGACAACACUAUUGCAAUUAUGAGCCACCCUAUUCCAAACACCAACGACCCUCGUUCAGUGCAUGUCAUCAUUUCCCAGAAGCAGUUGGCCCACAAAUCAGACAUGUAUGUCUUCUGUUGUUCAUACUCCCACAACGUGGCCCCCCAAGGGAAAGUUCAUCGCAUUUGUUUCUAAACGAUGCAGAGACUGAUAACCCUCAACC